rnacentral:rRNA from 1 species
CCUACGGGUGGCUGCAGUCGAGAAUCAUUCACAAUGGGGGAAACCCUGAUGGUGCGACGCCGCGUGGGGGAAUGAAGGUCUUCGGAUUGUAAACCCCUGUCAUGUGGGAGCAAAUUAAAAAGAUAGUACCACAAGAGGAAGAGACGGCUAACUCUGUGCCAGCAGCCGCGGUAAUACAGAGGUCUCAAGCGUUGUUCGGAAUCACUGGGCGUAAAGCGUGUGUAGGCUGUUUCGUAAGUCGUGUGUGAAAGGCGCGGGCUCAACCCGCGGACGGCAGAUGAUACUGGGAGACUAGAGUAAGGGAGGGGGAACCGGAAUUCGCGGUGUAGCAGUGAAAUGCGUAGAUAUCGAGAGGAACACUCGGUGCGAAGGCGGGUUCCUGGACAUUAACUGACGCUGAGGCACGAAGGCCAGGGGAGCGAAAGGGAUUAGAUACCCGAGUAGUC